rnacentral:piRNA from 1 species
UAAUGAGACGAAUAGUAAGUACGU